rnacentral:SRP_RNA from 1 species
GCUGGGCGUGGUGGCGGGCGCCUGUAGUCCCAGCUACUCAGGAGGCUGAGGCAGGAGGAUCGCUUGAACCCAGGAGGUGGAGGUUGCAGUGAUCUGGGAUCGUGCCACUGCACUCCACCCUGGGUGACACAGCGAGACUCCAUCUCAA